AAUUUAAGAACUGACAUUUUAUAUUUAUAUAACAUGUAUAUCAUAUUUAUAUGUAUUAUAAUUGUAAACUUAGAAAUUCUACCCAUGUUUUUAUUAUUGCAAAAAUAGUUGGGGUAGUUUUCACUAAAAUAAAAACACCGAAAGCAUUAUUUGUUUUGUAAGAUUACCUUGAAUUGCUAUUGCUAAUCUCAUUUUUUUUCUAUUGUUUAACAGUGGAAAUAAUAUUUACAUUAGAUGUAUGUUUCAUUAUAAUUACAUUAUUUUGAUUGGCUAACACCAAUCUGGCAUCAUUCUGAAAUUAACUUGUAUUACAGAUCAUUGACACAUCAUUAUUGAAACUAAAUUUGGCAUAUUUUUUGUUUGUUUGUGACAAAUAAGUAUCAGAAAUUUAGCAUUUUCUGACAAAAUGCUAGAUAUAAAAAUAUGUUCAGGUCAAACUGUCUAAAACAUGGUCAAAUAGAAGGUUUGUUAAGGAUAUUUAUUGAUUAUUUUAAAUGUCUUUGUUUUAAAUGUCUGGGUAUUAUGUUGCCAAUAAGCUGCUUAUUAUAUCUUGUUUAAAUACAAUUAUUGUCGGCAAAUAUUGAAAUGCACUAGAUAUAUUAAAUACAGGUGGAAUGAAUAUACAUAUCUGAAAUGUCAUGAAAACACAAAAUAUAUGAUUAGUUUCUCAAAAACCUUUAUCAUCUGUUAAUGAUCUGGCCUAUUUAUUGAUUGUUGUCUUUUUUGG
rnacentral:lncRNA from 1 species